AACGAACGCUGGCGGCAUGCCUAACACAUGCAAGUCGAACGAGCCCUUCGGGUCUAGUGGCGCACGGGUGCGUAACGCGUGGGAACCUGCCCUUAGGUUCGGAAUCACUCCCCGAGAGGGGUGCUAAUAACGGAUAAUGUCUUCGGACCUAAGAUUUAUCGCCUUUGGAUGGGUCCGCGUGAGAUUAGCUGGUUGGUAGGGUAAAAGCCUACCAAGGCGACGAUCCAUAGCUGGUCUGAGAGGAUGCACAGCCACACUGGGACUGAGACACGGCCCAGACUCCUACGGGAGGCAGCAGUGUGGAAUAGUGGACGAUGGGCGAAGGCCUGACCCAGCAGUGCCGCGGGAGUGAUGAAGGCCUUAGGGUUGUAAUGCUCGUUUACCCGUGAUGAUAAUGACGGUACCGGGAGAAUAAGCUCCGGCUAACUCCGUG
rnacentral:rRNA from 1 species